rnacentral:rRNA from 1 species
UACGUAGGAUGCAAGCGUUGUCCGGAAUUAUUGGGCGUAAAGAGCGCGCAGGCGGUAUGACAAGUCAGAUGUGAAAGAGGCCGGCUUAACCGGCAAGGGUCAUUUGAAACUGUCAGACUAGAGUGCAGCAGAGGAUAGUGGAAUUCCCGGUGUAGUGGUGAAAUGCGUAGAUAUCGGGAGGAACACCAGUGGCGAAGGCGGCUACCUGGCCCACUCUUGACGCUGAGGCGCGAAAGCUAGGGGAGCAAACGGG